GACGAACGCUGGCGGCGUGCCUAAUACAUGCAAGUCGAACGCUGAAGCGCGGAGCUUGCUCUUCUUGGAUGAGUUGCGAACGGGUGAGUAACGCGUAGGUAACCUGCCUUGUAGCGGGGGAUAACUCUUGGAAACGAUAGCUAAUACCGCAUAACACUCGGUGACACAUGUCAUUUAUUUGAAAGGGGCAAUUGCUCCACUACAACAUGUACCUGCGUUGUAUUAGCUAGUAGGUGAGGUAACAGCACACCUAGGCGAAGAUCCAUAGCCGACCUGAGAGGGUGAAGAGCCACACUGAGACUGAGACACGGCCCAGACGCCUACGGGAGGCAGCAGUAGGGAAUGGUCGGAAAUGGGGGCAACACUGACCGAGCGAGGCCGCGCGAGUGAAGAAGGGUUUCGGAUCGGAAAGCUCCGUUGGAGGUGUAGAACGAGUGUGAGAGUGGAAAGGUCACACUGUGACGGUAGCUGACCAGAAAGGGACGGCUAACUACGUG
rnacentral:rRNA from 1 species